rnacentral:rRNA from 1 species
GAUGAACGCUGGCGGCGUGCCUAAUACAUGCAAGUCGAACGCGCAGCGAGAGGUGCUUGCACCUUUUAAGCGAGUGGCGAACGGGUGAGUAACACGUGGAUAACCUGCCUCAAGGCUGGGGAUAACAUUUGGAAACAGAUGCUAAUACCGAAUAAAACUUAGUAUCGCAUGAUAUCAAGUUAAAAGGCGCUACGGCGUCACCUAGAGAUGGAUCCGCGGUGCAUUAGUUAGUUGGUGGGGUAAAGGCUUACCAAGACGAUGAUGCAUAGCCGAGUUGAGAGACUGAUCGGCCACAUUGGGACUGAGACACGGCCCAAACGCCUACGGGAGGCUGCAGUAGGGAAUCUUCCACAAUGGGCGCAAGCCUGAUGGAGCAACGCCGCGUGUGUGAUGAAGGCUUUCGGGUCGUAAAGCACUGUUGUAUGGGAAGAAAUGCUAAAAUAGGGAAUGAUUUUAGUUUGACGGUACCAUACCAGAAAGGGACGGCUAAAUACGUGCCAGCCGCCGCGGUAA